GACGAACGCUGGCGGCGUGCUUAACACAUGCAAGUCGAACGGUAAGGCCCUUCGGGGUACACGAGUGGCGAACGGGUGAGUAACACGUGGGUGAUCUGCCCUGCACUUCGGGAUAAGCCUGGGAAACUGGGUCUAAUACCGGAUAGGACCACUGCCUGCAUGGGUGGUGGUGGAAAGCUUUUGCGGUGUGGGAUGGGCCCGCGGCCUAUCAGCUUGUUGGUGGGGUGAUGGCCUACCAAGGCGACGACUGGUAGCCGGCCUGCGAGGGUGACCGGCCAAACUGGGACUGAGAUACGGCCCAGAAUCCUACGGGGGGCAGCAGUGGUGAAUAUUGCACAAUGGGCGCAAGCCUGAUGCAGCGACGCCGCGUGAGGGAUGACGGCCUUCGGGUUGUAAACCUCUUUCAGCACCGACGAAGCGCAAGUGACGGUAGGUGCAGAAGAAGGACCGGCCAACUACGUGCCAGCAGCCGCGGUAA
rnacentral:rRNA from 1 species